CAGUCCUAAAUUUUCAUCGUCUUUUUUCUUUCAUUUUUUUUUUCUAACAGAAGUAAAAAUGUUGAAAAAAAUUAAGUUAUUGCAGCACUUGAAAACAAGAGAAUUACGUUCAGACGGUAGUAAAAACGCUGAAGACGUCAAUAGUAUUUAAUUACUUGAAGACCGGAGAAUUUUUUGAAGAGCACACGAAUGCAAGUUUUCUUAUGAAAAAGAAUAUGCUUGGAAAUGACUUCAAUACUAAGAGUUAUAGGCUGAUAAGUUUAUUUCAUAAAGUCAUUAAUUUACGAAUUCAACGACACAAGA